UUAUAAAUUGUAGGGUUCAGAUAUAUAUAUAUAUAUAUUUAUCGAAGAUGAACUCCAUUAUUUUCAGAUCAGGCAGCUUUCCAUACAAUCUUUAUUCUAAAGGACUGUUGGGGGCCAGUAUUUUGUAUGGGCCUCAUGAUAAAACAAGGCCACAUGUUCUUUUCACUAGUUUCAACAUUCAGAAUAAGUGUUGCCUCAUUAUGUUGUGCCCUGUUCAAAGUUGACUUUAAAGACUGUCAUUUUAAUCAUACUGCCAUGUAAGAUCUUUAAAUUUGUUGAACCAUGGAUUGGGCAAUCAUAAAUCUAUAAAGAUCUCUUCACUUAUAAUCUUGUUCUACUGAAAGUGCCUACACAAUCACAAAGGAUGAAUUCAAGGCUUACAAGAGUUUAGCAGCUUACAACCAGUUCCUAGAUGGUUGGGUUCAAGAUAUUAUGGCUUUUAAACCACUAGCAAAGGUUCUUCACUCUCAGUGGUUAGCAGAAAAGGUACUGCAGCCCUGGAUAAGUCGAGAUGGUAUUAUUCUAUCAGCCCACUGUUCUUGUACAGUUGGACUUGGAGAGUCCUGCACUCAUGUGGCAGCCACUUUAUUUAUGCUGGAAGCCAACACCAGACUAAAAGAGAGUAAGACAGUUAGUUACAGGUUGUCAUCUUACUGGAUAAAUCCAUCAGAGCUUAAAAAAGUUUUGCCAACUAAGGUUUCUGAGAUUGACAUCACCUCAUUAAAAAACAAAAAGUUAAAUUUGAUUCUCUUGUGAACAACAUCACUUCUAAAAAUAAAAAUGUACAGGCUAUUAAAUCCAAAGAAACUAUAAAGCUUAGU